ACUCAAAGGAAUUGACGGGGACCCGCACAAGCAGCGGAGCAUGUGGUUUAAUUCGAAGCAACGCGAAAAACCUUACCAAGACUUGACAUCGCAUGACCGCCAUAGAGAUAUGGCUUUCUCUUCAGAGACAUGUAGACAGGUGGUGCAUGGUUGUCGUCAGCUCGUGUCGUGAGAUGUUGGGUUAAGUCCCGCAACGAGCGCAACCCUUAUCAAUAGUUGCCAAUAUUAAGUUAGGAACUCUAUUGAGACUGCCGUGGAUAACACGGAGGAAGGUGAGGAUGACGUCAAAUCAUCAUGCCCCUUACGUCUUGGGCUACACACGUGCUACAAUGGCUAUUACAAAGAGCCGCAAGCAGGUAACUGUGAGCAAAUCUCAUAAAAAUAGUCUCAGUUCGGAUUGUGGGCUGCAACUCGCCCACAUGAAGUCGGAGUUGCUAGUAAUCCCGAAUCAGAACGUCGGGGUGAAUGCGUUCCCGGGUCUUGUACACACCGCCCGU
rnacentral:rRNA from 1 species